rnacentral:lncRNA from 1 species
UACCACCUCUUGCUGAAUAUAGAGGACAGGUCUGUCAUGAGGGCUUAUCCCUGAAGAAUUCUUCCAGUUCCUUUAUCUAAAAUGGUGUCACAGCACCCUAUACACACAUAACUGGGCUUAUCUCAUAAUAUCUCUCCAAAGAAAUAUAUAUGAUUGCCCCAGAGACUUUCUUUAUCAUAUCAACAGUAGGGUUUUUUUUUAUCUAUGUCAUUAGAAAACAUGGUACCUCUGUUGGACAAUUUGCUGGUACACUCAAUGAGCAAAAAUACCCGCCCAAAUAGAAGAGGUUAAGCAGAGUUCAACCAAACACAUCUAGGAUACAAAUGAUUCAGAGAAGUCUCAGAAGGCACUUGUUCAGAAGUGCCACUAUCUUUUUGAUAUCCAGAGGAAUAACACUACUAUGGCCUUGGAGGUUGCUUACUGGGAAAAGUUAUAUAAAGCAUAUAAGGAAGUAAAGAAUUGCUUGGCAGAACUUGAUGGGUAAAAAGGAAUAAGACCUAUGAAAAUCUGAGUGGAGAAGCACACUGUGUAGAGCAUCUUUGUCCAGAAGGAAAAGAAGACAAUUGCCAUGUGCAUUUUAUAUCUAAAGUUGUCCUCAAAGAAGACUCAAGUAUAGCCA